rnacentral:rRNA from 1 species
UACAGAGACCUCAAGCGUUAUCCGGAUUCAUUGGGCGUAAAGCGUGCCGAUAGGUGGUUUGAUAAGUUUCUCGUAAAAGCCUGCAGCUCAACUGCGGAAGCGCGGGAAAUACUGUCAGACUAGAGGGGCAAAGAGGUGCUUGGAACGAACGGAGUAGCAGUGAAAUGCGUUGAUAUCGUUCGGAACACCAAAAGCGAAGGCAGAGCACUGGGUGCCACCUGACACUGCUAGGACGAAAGCGUGGGUAGCGAAUGGG